CUCACAUAAUGUGUGACU
rnacentral:rRNA from 1 species